GGAAAGGAGGGAGGAGGGGAGCAUGGCCCCCGGAGGAAGGGGCCAAACAGGCCAGGGCCUCGUAGGCGGGGAGGGAGGGCCUCCACCCUGAGUCCACGCAGCUGCCCACGGAGGUGGAGACCGAAGGGGUAUGGGGCAGGCAGCGACUCACCUUCCUCUCCAGGAAUGAUGCGAUCAGGCCAAAGUUCUUGGGAUGCUGCAUGAACCUGUGGGACGAGAAGGGCGGGCGUGAGACCUGGCCGAGGGGGGCUUCCCUGCAGGGCGGCCGAUCGGCUCCCAGGCGCCUGCCAUCCCCACUGGCCCGGCCUGGCGGGCACCGCCCCACUCGGAGCAAUUAAGCCCAGGGGGGUGUGGGAAGGGCUGCUGCGGCAGACGGGAGGGUGGGGACCCAGGGGUAAGAGAGGGCGUUCCUUGGAGUGAGUCACUGGCUUUAGCGCCUUUGAAAAUAUAUUUGUUUGUCCUGCUGGAGGCGGCUUCCAGGAAAAAUGAGGACAUGACAUGCAGCUCUUUGGUGGGGUUCCCCCCCCUUUAAAAUCCGCUUUUGUUUCUCUCUCCAGCUGGAUCUGGGAAGCAUGGCCUCACCCGGCCCACACAGGGUCUGCUUGGGAACAUGGCAGGGACCCGCCAGCGGCGUCAUGGCUCACCAGGCUGCUGGGCCUCCCCAGGAGAGGAGAGCUGGGAGCAGAGGCUCCGAGUGCCCAUGGGGCAGCGGGAGGGGGGUGGCUAACCAAGGAGGCAGCAAGCAUGGACUUAAGUCAGAGGCUGGUGGCGGGGCGCUGGCACUGUCCCAACUGGCUUCCUGCGUAGCCAGGAGAAUUACUGGGAAACCACUGGGCCAGGCUGAAAUGCGAGGGCCAAAGGAGCGGGAGCAUGGUGGGGGCAGGGAUGUGGGUCAAGGCCUGCUCCACCCCAAGGGUGCUGGGUGGAGUCCAUGGCCCCAGGCCCAGGCGUCCCGGCGACGUGCCACAGCCCCACGGCCUUCGCAGGGAAAGCAGUGGCUGCCAGCGAGGCUGGACUAUGAGCUCCCACGGAGGGAGGCUGAGUGAGCACCGGUGCCCGACCUGCCUGGCCCUCCAGAUGGCUGGGCAGGAGGCUAGCAGGCCCCGGGCCUGCUUCCCAGCCAGACACCCGAGGAUCCUGAACAGUCUCUCUCUCCUCCCAGUGGAAGCAGCAUGGUGAGGAAUGGCAGGCUUCCCUGGCCUGGGAUCCCACCUCGGGCGGCUGGCAAGGCCGGAGUCAUCCUAAAGCCCUUCUCUUCUCUUCCAGAUAAGAAAAUUGAGGUUCAGAGGGGGAAUGGUCACGUGGCCAGCACAUGGUGGAGCCCCAUGCCGUCAGCAGGUGAUUUUCAAAGCCCCGAGUGCUAUCAAUUCCUCCGCACAUGAGACCUCAAACCAAGCCCACAGUCCUGGAGGGAUGCAGGCGGCCAAGCUGUGGCUCAACCAGGCCAGCAGACAGCAGCCCAGCCUGCGUCCCCCACCCUUCGGCUACUGAAUUAACAGAGGGUGAAAUUAUCAGACCUGCAGAGCCACAUGAGAUCUUCCGAAAGUCUGGAGCCACAGAAAGCACCCCAGAACACCAGUUUUUGUAUUUCAGAAAAAAUACAUACACUAAAACAUCAUGCCUACCAGAAGGAAUUUGAAUAUCGAACGCAACAGUAAUUCAGUAAUUCUUAACACCUGUGACUGUCCCACCAUCACCUCCCUCGUUCAAAACUGUAAAAAGCAUGCGACGGAGACUUCAAUUUGAUGUAGAAAGAUCGUGUCUGCUAUGGUGAGGCUGCAGGCACGAGCCACUAAGUAACCGAGUAUUCCUGCUCAGGGACCAAGGCUGUUUCCUGUGGAGGACCACUGAUCCUGUGCCGUGGGCACCCAAGGGCUCAUUACCCCACCCCUCUAUUUUUAUGGAUGUUUCAACAUUUCCAUAAUCAAAAGCUACUCUUAAAAAAUGAUUUCCACCAA